rnacentral:rRNA from 1 species
AUUGAACGCUGGCGGAAUGCUUUACACAUGCAAGUCGAACGGCAGCACGGACUUCGGUCUGGUGGCGAGUGGCGAACGGGUGAGUAACAUAUCGGAACGUAUCCAAUAAUGGGGGAUAACGAGUCGAAAGAUUCGCUAAUACCGCAUACGCCCUACGGGGGAAAGCUGGGGACCUUCGGGCCUGGCGUUAAUGGAGCGGCCGAUAUCUGAUUAGCUAGUUGGUGAGGUAAAGGCUCACCAAGGCGACGAUCAGUAGCUGGUCUGAGAGGACGACCAGCCACACUGGAACUGAGACACGGUCCAGGCUCCUACGGGAGGCAGCAGUGGGGAAUUUUGGACAAUGGGCGCAAGCCUGAUCCAGCCAUUCCGCGUGAGUGAAGAAGGCCUUCGGGUUGUAAAGCUCUUUCGCAAGGGAAGAAAACUUAGCCACUAACAUUGGUUGAGGUUGACGGUACCUUAAUAAGAAGCACCGGCUAACUACGUGCCAGCAGCCGCAGUAA